UACGUAGGGGGCAAGCGUUGUCCGGAAUUACUGGGCGUAAAGCGCGUGUAGGCGGGACGGUUAGUCGGACGUGAAAGGCUGGGGCUCAACCCCAGAUCGCCGUUCGAAACUGCCGUUCUUGAGGGUCGAAGAGGAGAGUGGAAUUCCUGGUGUAGCGGUGAAAUGCGUAGAGAUCAGGAGGAACACCCAUGGCGAAGGCAGCUCUCUGGUCGACAUCUGACGCUGAGACGCGAAAGCCAGGGGAGCAAACGGG
rnacentral:rRNA from 1 species